rnacentral:rRNA from 2 species
GACGAACCGUGCGAACGUUGUUCGGAUUCACUGGGCAUAAAGGGCGCGUAGGCGGACGGUCAAGUCGGGGGUGAAAUCUUUCAGCUUAACUGGAAAAGUGCCUCCGAUACUGACUGUCUCGAGGGAGGUAGGGGCAUGUGGAACUUCCGGUGGAGCGGUGAAAUGCGUAGAUAUCGGAAGGAACGCCGGUGGCGAAAGCGACGUGCUGGACCUCUUCUGACGCUGAGGCGCGAAAGCUAGGGGAGCAAACGGG